AGCAUUUAGCAAUUUCCUGCACUUAUUUCCUGCCAUUGAACACAUCACCAAUACAUGACUCCAACCACAUGACUUUGCUCAGCCAAUCGGAUGGCAUGUAGGUCAUAGUAAGCCUGUCCCGGCUUCCUCCCGUCAGAUGCGUGGAGGCAAGCCAGGUGACAGAGCUGUUGCAGACGCUGAUUACUGUGAGCCAGAGCCAUAGUGUUGUUGUGCACUGAACAGAACGGAAUUGGCCAGGUGAACCUU